UGGGGAAUUUUGCACAAUGGGCGCAAGCCUGAUGCAGCGACGCCGCGUGAGGGAUGAAGGCCUUCGGGUUGUAAACCUUUUUCGCUCAUGGUCAAGCCGCAGCUUUGGGUUGUGGUGAGGGUAGUGGGUAAAGAAGCGCCGGCUAACUACGUGCCAGCAGCCGCGGUAAUACGUAGGGCGCGAGCGUUGUCCGGAAUUAUUGGGCGUAAAGGGCUUGUAGGCGGUUGGCCGCGUCUGCCGUGAAAUCCUCUGGCUUAACUGGGGGCGUGCGGUGGGUACGGGUUGACUUGAGUGCGGUAGGGGAGACUGGAAUUCCUGGUGUAGCGGUGGAAUGCGCAGAUAUCAGGAGGAACACCGGUGGCGAAGGCGGGUCUCUGGGCCGUUACUGACGCUGAGGAGCGAAAGCGUGGGGAGCAAACAGG
rnacentral:rRNA from 1 species